UACAGAGGUCUCAAGCGUUGUUCGGAUUCAUUGGGCGUAAAGGGUGCGUAGGCGGCGCGGUAAGUCGGGUGUGAAAUUUCGAGGCUUAACUUCGAAACUGCAUUCGAUACUGCCGUGCUUGAGGACUGGAGAGGAGACUGGAAUUUACGGUGUAGCGGUGAAAUGCGUAGAUAUGACAUAGAAUACCGAUUGCGAAGGCAGCUUACUACACAGAUAUUGACGCUCAUGCACGAAAGCGUGGGGAUCAAACAGG
rnacentral:rRNA from 1 species